CGGAGGGUGCGAGCGUUGUCCGGAAUCACUGGGCGUAAAGGGCGCGUAGGCGGCCUGAUAAGUAGGGGGUGAAAUCCUGCGGCUUAACCGCAGGGCUGCCUUCUAAACUGUCGGGCUUGAGCACAGUAGAGGCAGGUGGAAUUCCCGGUGUAGCGGUGGAAUGCGUAGAGAUCGGGAAGAACAUCAGUGGCGAAGGCGGCCUGCUGGGCUGUUGCUGACGCUGAGGCGCGACAGCGUGGGGAGCAAACAGGAUUAGAUACCCUGGUAGUCCACGCCGUAAACGAUGGGCACUAGGCGUCGGGGGGAGCGACCCUCCCGGUGCCGUCGCUAACGCAGUAAGUGCCCCGCCUGGGGAGUACGGCCGCAAGGCUG
rnacentral:rRNA from 1 species